CCUCUCAAUAGAGCAUGCAAUCAUUAGGACAUGCAUGUAUCUUGUUGUAAGUAAAAUCUAACUGUUCAAUAAUCUUCGAUGCCUCAUAAUUAUUCUUCAAGAUUUAUACAUUGUCCGAAAGAAUAUCCUCCAAAAGCUCUAGUAUGCAGUUUACUCCAUUAUUACUGAACUUAUUGGAGCAUUUCGCAUGAUAUAACUGGAUUAAGAGCUCAAGCUUCACCAUCUUUUCACACUUGAGAUACAACAGAAUAUUAGCAUUCUUCAUCAACUUGUAGAUCUUCUCC
rnacentral:lncRNA from 1 species